UCAGUCUUGAUCCUUCACCCAUUCCCCUGCAUGCUGCUUAUGUCACCUCUGAUUGAUAGUGAGGAAUCCGGCCUUUGGGGCUUAUCACGCUGAGCAAAGGUUUUUACCUCUAUGGACAUGUCUGUUGUUCUCUCUUCUUUGUACCCAGGUUUUGGAGCAAUCGUGGCAGCUAGGUGAAAAGUGAGCUGGGUGGGAGGAACCAGGCUGCAGCACAGAUACAAUCAGGGGACAGUGCUUCAGUCCUGCAGCACUGCCAGUGCUCACUGGAGGAGGAAUUUGCUGGAUCCAGCUGUUCCACUUCCCAGUUCCACUGAAGUUCAGUGGAUGUCCUGGAUGCAGGCAGUCUGUCACAUACACCAUGCUGUUGCAAACACAUGGCACGACUUCCCAAGAUGUCCCUUGACGAGCACAGGGAGCACUGUGGGCGAUAUGUGCAGCAGGAGGCACACCCUGAAGCCAUCCUGCUGAAGCUAGCUCUGAUGUUAAAUGACUCUGUGCCAAUCACACUACUGCAGCAAAUGCUAAAUGAAUUUGAUGUUGAACAGUUACAUUCUUACCUUUCUCAAUAACUCUAUGUUAAUAUUACAUUAAUUAUUCCUGAAUUACAAUGCUGUUGAAUGUUGAUAAAGCUGAAUUCCUUCUUGAAAUGCUGAUCCUGACAGUCCUGUGGCAGGCAGUAAAAUGUGCUUUCCACGUCUUAAGGGAAAAGAGGAAUAUAUUACUACUUCUGAUGAAAGGACUUCAGAAGAAACAUAUUCUAGUCACAUCUUGUGGAGCACUCGCCUGAAUCCCUCUUGCUUUCAGUAGCAGAUGCCUUUGCAUAAGACAUAAAAGGAAUAUACUCAUCACUUUUUUAGUUAAAAUUUUAUAGUGAUUGCUGAUGUAGAAUCAGUUCAGCGUGUAUGAACUGUUCCCCACAACAAUGGCGCUUUGUGCAUACGGAGCUGAUCCUUGCCUCAUGAGAGCUGAUGCACGGGAGCAAAGCUGGCAGGAUGAACAUGGAGAGAUCACUUCUUACUGUGCUGCACUAGUGAGACUUCCAGCUAUGAGAAGGAAACGUGAUGGAAGGGAGCAGGCAGACCCCAAAGGACUGCUUUCCAAGCAUAGGAUGGGGCAUUUAUUAGAGUCAACUCCAGCACCUGUGAUCCUUUUAAGAAGAAGCAAGAGGACUGUGUGUGAUCUAAGCAUUCAGAAUCCAUGACACAAAUCCUCAGAAAUGGUGAAAAUGCCUUUGUUAUCACCAGAGUUUAUGGGUAAUAACUUUUGCUGGGGCCUUUUGGUGCCUACAUUUUCAUACUUUGGAUUCUAGUCUUCUCUAAACUUUCCUCAGCCAUUAUAAGGGCUAGGAACUCAAAGUGCACUGAAGUAAGAGUGUAACACACGGCUGCUGGAACCGGCACUCCCAAAAAACGCCUACCAUUUUCCAUAUCUUUGCCACCUAGAGCAAAACCUAGAUAAAGGCCAAGCCCAGUCUGGCACUAAGAGCAACAGAAUUUGCCUCACCAAAAACAUCUGGAUGUGCUUGAUGGCAGUGGUGAGAUAAAGAGAGCAGGGAACACUCUGAAAGACAUGGAGUUCCAACCUGUGGCUAAAAGCCAUUGCUCAAAUGCUGAGAGGAGCUUAGAGAUGCAUGUUUUGAAUCUUUCCUGUUUAGAUAUUUGUUAAGAGAUACUUAAUCAAUUAUCUCCCUAUCUUGGAAAGAUUUUUUAUUAUUAAAAGCUACAUAUAAGAAACAAACUGGGUCCAGAUUCCGAGAGACAACUAUGGACCCGUUACAGCAAAAUAUAGGAGGAGGUUGUUUUGCAUGCUUUCUUCAAACACCAUAUAGAAGGAGAUGUGUGCAGUUUCAUGGGUCAGAGAAGGAGGAGGGCUGCUCUCCCAGUGAUUGCACAUCCUGCUACAGCAAAAACAGUAGCAUUUAGCCUCUGCAGGAAGGUCCUAAAAACACCUAAAGCCUAAGGUAUAUUGUGAUUUCAUUCCCCAUACAAAAUAAGCAAGUAUAGAGAGCUAAGCCAGGAGGUAAGAGGGCUACACAUUGCAUAGAUGGCAAUCCCACCUUACGUAAGAGUCCCUAUUCCUCCUGCUCCUCCCAAGGCUGGACACCUCCAAACUUACCCAUACCUCCAAUGGGAACUGCAUCUGCUGAAAUGUCCUCACUCACCCAGAGAGACGCUCUCUCUGUUGUUCCCUCUAUGAACUCAUUCAUCUUCCCAAUUGCUUUUUGUAGACAGCUGCUGAAUCAUGCACAGAAAUGUUCACGGGAGGGAGAGAAGAGAAUUACUUCCUCAGGCAGUGCUAGCAGCAAAGGGCAGCCAAGGCAGGUUUCCCUGGCUGCUGCUGCAGAGAAGACUCUGGGCAUUGCUGGAGGUCCCUCUUAAUGGCAGCUGCUUGCAUUUGACAAAAUAUUUUUUUAAUUUAUUCUCAUUUUAGAUGCUUUAGACAGAGCUUAUUUUCUCUUCCUUUUGGUAAGAGCUGUACCCAUAUCGUAGGGAACAACUUCACUGCUCUACUUUGGAGGCCCUUUCUGCUGCACCAGCAUACAUGUGUGCUUGCAGCCACUACAUGCAGACAGACCCCUGCAUCCCUCCGUCUUCUGGCACUGUCAGUGGACAGCUGGGUCCAGACCCCAGAAUACAUCUUUCACUUUGCCAGGGCUCUUCUGAAUGAUGGAUAAGAAGAGCUGCAGCUGCUUCUACUGUGGUGGAGAUUAAAUAUUUCCCAGAGUUUGCUCCCGGGUCUAUUGAUUGUACUUCUAAAUGCUGCAUGCACAGUGUGGCCAGGGCUUAGACCUGAGCCAUAGAAAACUUUCUGUGAAGGAGAGAGGGACACCAGCUCACGUGGUUAAUGAAGGGAGCAGGGUGCCUGGAAUGGCACAUUGCUGCAGAGAAGUGUUUUGAUGAUUCUCUUUGUGCUGCUUGAGAAGCUGAAAAAGGACAGAUGUCUGGGCAAAAGGUAGCAGAUAGCCAGCUGAAGUGGAGUGAGACCACGGGAGCUAGAAAUCCGAGGGGGAUAGCUUUGCUCCAGCUGAUGGAAGGAGUGGGAGAAGGGAUGUGUUUUCUUGCAGACAGGAGUGGCUACAAGGGAGUGCAAGUCUGUGUUCCUGCACACAUGGUGGUGUGAUAAUCAAUCUUUUGUGAUUCUGACAGGUACCUGCAGAGAAGCAGAAACAAAGAUCACCUGACAGUGAUUAAUGCAUUGCUAGCUGUCAGACUAAGAAUACUGGUAGUGGAUAAAUAAGCACUAACACCAGAGAAAGCUGCAGAGGGUUUUGGAGUACUGGAGGGAAUUGGAGCUCAGCACUUAUUUACCACAAACACUUUCUCUUUUCUGUUUCUUGUUUGAAACCACUCCACUCUGCUUCCACAACAGGUGGAGAAAUGGAUGCAGGCUUUCUGAAACAAAGCUAUUCCUCCAGCCUAGGUUAUACAUGAAAAAGUGGUAAAUGAUACAGCUGACCCCAGCCUGGUUUGCCCUGGACAAGAUAUGGCAUUGUUUUAGACACUGUGAUACAGUAGAGCAUCUGCAAAGGAGGAAAACAGCUCUUGCUGUACUGCAUCACAGCUUUGGAUAGCUUGAAGGUAACUGAAGGCUGCUCCACCACUCUGCGCAGUGUACUGCUGAAUGCUUCAGCCUCGAACCAAGAAAGGCUUUGUAAGCUGCUGAGUGCCUGGUGUGUCUGCCACAGUGCAGACUGUGCUCCCUUUCACUGUCACUAUGCCUGGGGCUAUCUGUGCCUUGCUCCCUGUGCAGCAGGAUGUUUGAGGGGCUGCUGGGGAGUUGUGUAGGGCAGGACUUGGGGCAGGUGCUCCCUUGGGCUGCAGUAGCAAAAGGCAUUUCUAGGGGAUGGCAGUGCUCACCGCUGUGCUUCACGCACGCUGGCUCCUGGGCUGAGGACGAGGACAGCACUGGCAGCCCUGGGUAAUGGUGCCAGGACCUUGCACACUCAGCUGUGGGAUGGAGCCGAGAUGGUUGGGCUGGAGCAACUCUGGACAUGCUUGGGAGCGGGAUAACAGCCUGCGGAGGCUGAGAUCCUAAACUGGAGGCAGCAGGCAAGUUGAGGCACCUCCGGGGCCAGGCAGCAGCUGAACAGGAGUUGCAGUUUUCAACUGAGGUGGCCAAAUUCUGCCAACUUGUUUAAUAUGCCUGUUGUAUUUGCAGGUUUUCUUUCCUUUGUAAGAGUGGCAGCCUUUAAUCUUGGUGGCUUGCAUUCCCUUUGUAAAGUGGAGUUACGAAUGUUCAGCCCCAUUUAGAAGAUCACUGAUAUAUCUGAGUGAAUGUUCCUGCAGAAAACCACAGUAUUCAAGAUAUAGCAUUGUGUACUCUGCCUGGUUCUCAUAUCACUUUCCAAGCUGAAUCCGCGUACCUAAGGGCUGAGAUGUCUGUCCGUGAGGUUGUAGAGUUUGGUGUUUUUUUUCAGGGAUGUUUUAAUUGCUCAGGAAGUGGUGGGACCUUGUUAACCCUGAUGGGUAUGGCAUGACCAGGCUGGGGUAUUCACACACCCCUCACCUCCAGCAUUCAGCACCGCAAAAGAUUCACUGCUCAAGGAUGGGCACAGAACCAGUAUUUGAGGAUUAGUUAUAGUUGUACACAGCUGUCAUGUAUUUGCCAAUAUUAUUCUGAGUGACUGAAUUCAAGUGCUUUAAUCCUUUUGGUUAAUGGCAAGAAAAGUGGAUGGCACUAGCUAUGUCUUUCUUGUGGAUCAUUGUCUGAUCCUGCACUCCUUGAUGCCCAUGCUGGGACUCUCUUGUGCCUCUGGCACUUCUCCACCAGCCCCUGCUCCCCAUUUUGUUCCUAACAUGUUUUGUUUUGCUGGCUGGGCAUUUCCUCAGAAAUGCUCCCUGCUCCUAUGCUUGUCAUUCACUAUGGCUGUUCUUCCCCGGAGUGCCACAAAACAAGCCCACCUCUCCUAGCUCCACUGUCCCAUUCAGGGCUCCCAAACUGGGCUGUUGAGACUGCUGAGGCUGCUUCAAUUCCAGGUCCAAGCUCUGUGCCAUGAGAACACAGAGCCACAUUCUUAGGCUGAUGUAAACUGGUGAAGCUCCAUUGAUGUUGAUCUACAUUAUACAAGCUCAAAAUACAGCUGAGAGUGAGUGAAUAAUUAUACUGAAAUAUAGCCAGUGUUGAAGCAUGCCUGUUCUGUGGGGAUGCUGAGAAGUGAAAGACAUUUCCACCCCUUUUUGGCUGAUGAUCCACAAGUGAAUGCAGAAGAAAAGCUGGAGGGUAAUGCAUGAGUUAGUUUACCCUCUCUAAAAUGUCACCAGUUCCGUGGAGAGAUGCAGCAGCAGUUUAGCAGUAUGUAGCCCAUGUGGCAGAGGUGCUCCUGUUAUUUAUAUGGCUCCAUAAGUGAACUCAGUGCAGCCUAUCCUCCAGCAUUUCAAUGCAGCUCGCUCCUGAGCAGGGCAGCAGCAGGCUGCAACCAGCCUGGCAGUGUUGCACGGAAAACCCCAACUGCUCCCAGGCCUACAAGGGGACAGUGCAGUGUCCCCUCAGGGCCACAAAUGCUUGGCAAAGCAGCAGAAAAGAAGUGGAUUGAGUGCCAGGAGAGGGAAGAGGUUUCCCUCAAUGUGAUUCUAUCCCUUUAAUGUCUUUCUCCUUUCUGUCCACUAUGGUUCUGCAAAAUGCAUCCAGACAGCAAAGCUUACCUUUCCUUAUGCUUUCUUGCAGGAAAGGUGAGGAAAAGAAGAAAUGUUCCAUCUUGCAGCUUUAGAUGUAAGGCACAGAAGUUAAAGGGCAGAUCUGAAGCAGGUUUCGGCCUACGUAACCAGAAAUGCUCCAGGACAGGUUCCCUUGAGGGGGAGUGGAAGGAGAAGGGGGUUUGGAGCUGACCAGCUCUCUCAGGAGGGAUUUGCUUUGCUGCAGUGAGGUGCUGUCCAGGGCAGUCACUAUUCUGUACCUGGAGUUGAAUUAACAUUGUUCAGAUUCCUCUGGUUUCAGGUGGUUGCAACAUCUGCUGACAUCUUCUGCAUUUUUUUUUUCCCCUUUUUAAAAUACUCCCUCCCGUCUUAGAGGCAGCCAAGUUUGCAGGUUCCAGGAGGCUUCUCACAUGGUUAGGGAUAAAGACGGGCUGCAAGACUGUGGGCUGUGCUCUCCACCCUGAAGGGAGCAGAAGGGCCAGGUUGUUGGGCAGGAGGAGGUGGAGCAAGAGGCUUUUCCCAGAGUUGUUCUUGUAUGCAGUCGUGGGGUUUUCCCAAUGGGAAACACAUCAGCAGCAACUAUCUGCUGGGGUGGGAGUGAGCACUGCUUGCGCUACAGAGCUACACCCUGGAAAGCACUGCCUUGACCUGAAAGUGGAGUUUAUUAACUCCAGAUUUUUACAGCAUGGCUGGCACGCCAACACUGUCUGAACGCAAUGAAUCACUUGCAGAUAUAAGCUAGGGGAAUGCAUCUCCAGUGCUGCGCCAGCCUGAGUCACGCGCGGCUGUUGUGCCAAGUGCCAGCUGCUGAGUGGCAGCGAGCUCUUGGCUGUGCAGCAGGCACUGCACACACGGGCUCUCACCGGCUGCCUGAUGAGCACAGCCAGUGGUGAUGGCAGCUGAUUUGCUGAACACAGAGCACAGGUGCCUUGAACAGCAGACUUGCCUGUUACUUAAAAGGAAAGAGAUUGCCUGGGGCUAAUUGGUCGCUCAGCAGGGGGAGAAGGAGCUACAGGUCCUGCUUAGCUGCGGAGAAGCUCUAGAAGACAGCUGUGGGAUUUACCUCUGAUGAAGGAAGUAGGGCAAUAGCUAUCGCUGUCCCAACCGUCAUGAACCUUUUCCUGCUUUGAGACCUCUAGAAACACAUUUGCUGUGAUAUCUGUCUACAGGAGCAGAUAGAAAGGCUGGGAAAGCCUCCCACUGCUGCUUGCUGCUGUCUUUCAGCUGGAAGUAACCAACUGUGGAGCUGAGCUGGUAGAGUGAAAUGUACUUAGGCUCUACACCUGCAUGCCCAUAGCAUCAUCUGUCUGUGGGAAAGGACCGGGCACUGAGCAGCCCUUGUGUUGCUGCAGCAGGCUUCCACUCGCUCUGCAGGUUGAGGGCUUGAAGCCCGGCUAGGCAUACUAGGAGGAGUCUUUUAUAAUGUGUCCGUAGGAAAGGCUCAGGAAGAAGUUGGAUGCAGCAAGAGCAGCUGGAGAAAGCAGGAAACCCUCUUGCUGUGUUCCUUCUGUUGAAUAUGAUGUCUCCCCUACAAAUACUGCUGGAGAUCCUUAGCACGUGCAGGAGGUUGGGGAAGUGAAUGAGUUAGUCCUGUCUCUUUUAAACAAGAGAAAAGCCAUGCCUACGGCUGAAUUUAGGUCAGAUUGGAAACUAGAUUGGAAACUCUGAAAAUAAACUUUUCUCCCCCCAAAUGGUUCUGCAAAAGCCUUGUACUCAGGUAAAGCUUUAUAAUUGUUGAGCACUGAACAAAAUUCAGCUGCUUCAAGGUAUGAUAGGAAUUGCUGGCUGAAUGUUUUGUGCUACUGAUGUGUGUCCUGAACUUUUUUUUUUUUCCUUAAGUAAUUGUUCAUUUUGACCCUUCUGAUUUCACUCUGAGCAUGAACUUUUAAUGGGGACAUGUUCCUGUUUGCCCCAAGCCUGCAGACCACAGUGUUUGUUUUUGACUGGAACCUUGUUGGCAUUUCUGCUGAGCAAAUACAGUUAUCAAAUGUAUUCAGAUCUUAAAAGUGAGAGCAGCUUAUGUGGGUGCAGGGAUGUACAUAGCAGAGAGAGGUGAAGUAAAAGUUCAAUUAUUUUUCUUCCUUUUGUAUUGCAGGACAAACCUUCCAGAAAAAUGAAUGUUCUGCCACAAGUUUCCCAUAACCAGCCAAAUAAAAUAUUAUGUUUUAAAGUAUUCAAGGUCAGAGGAAUAAGUUGGGCUCAGCAAUUUUUUCCUCCUCUCAAUAGCUUCUGCUGAAUGUAAUCUUUAAAACUGUGCAUGUGGGGGGCCAGAUCCUGACCCCCACUGCAUCUGCUUUGCAUCGCUGUUGAAAAUGCAGAGCAGGCAGAAAGCUGGCUUAGCUGGAUUGCUGGAGAUUACCCUGACCCAGUUUGUCAGCCGCAGGGCAGGAGCCUGAGCACUGUGGCCAGGGCAUGGCAGAAGGAGGGGAUCUUGCAGUGACAUCUCUCUGUCUGGAGACUUGUUGGGUGGGAUUGUGGCUGUCCCCUGUUAGCGUUCCAGCAGUGGGGUGGUCCUUGGUUGCUCUCACAGCAGGGCUCUGGUCAUGGGCAGCAGCCAAAACCCUGUGUUCCAGACUGAAUUUUUCUUUAAGGCUCUGACUAGGUUGGCUUCU